AUGGUAUGUAUGUAUGCUAUUAAUUAUGUAUUAUCUUAUGAUUUUGAUAAUUAUAUAAAUUUUCACCCUUCCGUUGGAAUGAUAUUUUAUACGACAUCACUCAGGUACUCAAGAUAUUGGUGGUUCUCGCAAGGACUAGUCGGAGGGAAUAGUAGCUUACUAGGUAGUGUGUCAUGCUCUGAUCAUGUAGCACGGGGAUCGCUUGAUUCAUAUUUGAUUUGUAUGAGAUAUUUUACAUACUUUAUGUUAUUUUUUUAUAUUAUGAUGUAUUAG